rnacentral:miRNA from 1 species
AUAUAAGGAUCACACUCCACACACACAUAUAUGUGUGUGUGUGGGGUGUGAUCCUUAUAU